GUCUAAUUAGUUUAUUAAAAAUGUUAAAUUGUGGAUUUAAAGAUGUAUUUCAUUAGAUA
rnacentral:tRNA from 1 species